rnacentral:rRNA from 1 species
UAAAGGUAUUCCGGUAGACGAUGGGGAUGCGUUCCAUUAGAUAGUAGGCGGGGUAACGGCCCACCUAGUCUUCGAUGGAUAGGGGUUCUGAGAGGAAGGUCCCCCACAUUGGAACUGAGACACGGUCCAAACUCCUACGGGAGGCAGCAGUGAGGAAUAUUGGUCAAUGGGCGAGAGCCUGAACCAGCCAAGUAGCGUGAAGGAUGACUGCCCUAUGGGUUGUAAACUUCUUUUAUAAAGGAAUAAAGUCGGGUAUGGAUACCCGUUUGCAUGUACUUUAUGAAUAAGGAUCGGCUAACUCCGUGCCAGCAGCCGCGGUAAUACGGAGGAUCCGAGCGUUAUCCGGAUUUAUUGGGUUUAAAGGGAGCGUAGAUGGAUGUUUAAGUCAGUUGUGAAAGUUUGCGGCUCAACCGUAAAAUUGCAGUUGAUACUGGAUAUCUUGAGUGCAGUUGAGGCAGGCGGAAUUCGUGGUGUAGCGGUGAAAUGCUUAGAUAUCACGAAGAACUCCGAUUGCGAAGGCAGCCUGCUAAGCUGCAACUGACAUUGAGGCUCGAAAGUGUGGGUAUCAAACAGGAUUAGAUACCCUGGUAGUCCACACGGUAAACGAUGAAUGCUCGCUGUUUGCGAUAUAUGCAA